CUGGCUCAGGAUGAACGCUAGCUACAGGCUUAACACAUGCAAGUCGAGGGGCAGCAUGUUGGUUGCUUGACAACCAAUGAUGGCGACCGGCGCACGGGUGAGUAACGCGUAUCCAACCUUCCCCUAGUAGAGGAUAGCCCGGCGAAAGUCGGAUUAAUACUCUAUGUUCUUCAAUGCGGGCAUCUAAGUGAAGCAAAGAUUUAUCGCUAAGGGAUGGGGAUGCGUCUGAUUAGGUUGCAGGCGGGGUAACGGCCCACCUGGCCUACGAUCAGUAGGGGUUCUGAGAGGAAGGUCCCCCACACUGGUACUGAGACACGGACCAGACUCCUACGGGAGGCAGCAGUGAGGAAUAUUGGUCAAUGGGCGCGAGCCUGAACCAGCCAAGUAGCGUGCAGGAACCGACUGCCCUAUGGGUUGUAAACUGCUUUUAUCAGGGAAUAAAGUGAGGCACGCGUGCCUUUUUGUAUGUACCUGAUGAAUAAGGACCGGCUAAUUCCGUGCCAGCAGCAGC
rnacentral:rRNA from 1 species